AUCGGGUAAAGAGCAGCUGGUGCCGUAGUCCGUUUAGCGGACGCGGGUAAAAGGGAAACAGGUGAAAAUCCUGUACGAUCUCGUCACUGUAAGCAGGGAGUGCAUGGCCAUUGUCAUGGACAGUCACUGAUUCCAAUGGAAUUGGGAAGGCGGUCAUUGCGCGCGGAUCUGCAAGCCAGGAAACCUGCCGGCUGUUGGUACGGGAAU
rnacentral:ncRNA from 23 species